UCUCCUCCGACUUAUCUCAAAGGACAGAGAAGGACUUCCUUGCCUGAAGAAGAAAAACGAAAGCGGUAUAAGCUUUUUUUGUAGCAUUUAGGAUCUGGAUUUCAUCAUAUAAUAAAUUGAACAAUUUUCUUUUAUUUUGCCUGAAAAGUCAAACCAAUCCAGGUCACGAUUCUUAAUUAUGAACUAGGUUCAAACUGAAACCCAGCUGGCCAUUACCGGCAUCUAUGACACAUUAUGUCCUUGUGUGUAUACUGUCACGUUUACUCAUGUUCAUCUGCACAGCAAAUGAGUGGAAGAGGAGUCACCAGUCAUGCUCUGGAACUGAAGACUAUCCUACUCUGACUGUACAGUUUGGUAGACCAUGGGCAUGGUCUUGCUGUAUUAUUCAGACUGGCCCCUGAUGUAGUCUAGGCUGGCUUUGAACUUGAGACGAUCCUCUUGCCUUAGCCUCCUGAGUGCUGGGACUACGGAACACAGCAAACGGAGUCUCCAGGUGCUCUGUGGGACGCCCAAGUCCCACUCAAAGCACUCUACAGGAAACCCAUGAGCAACACACCUUGGAUUUCCAAGACACAGAUCUCCCUAGAAUUUGGAAGAGGACUUGCUUUGAUGACUUCUGGUUGGUGGAGACAGCAAUGUGAACUGUGCUCAAGGGUCCAUGCAAUGACCACUUCACCAAAUCCCAAUCACAUCCCCACAUCCUUCUAGUCUUAGAGGGAAUACCUGAUGGUGAACUCCAGAGCCAACAGCCAGUCAAACAGCAAUGUCUACUGUUUGACUCUGACUUAGGAGGAAAGUUUCCACCAGCUUUCUGAUGGCCACAGAUAGGAAAUCAGUGAUAAAAUCAGUGGCAGAACCUGCUUUGGAUGAGUGGAUAAUGAUACAAGAUGUGAGAGAGAUUUUUGGACGGAGCAAGGAGGGGAAGCAUAGAAAGAGCCACGUGGGCUAUUUGAGCAUUGGUUGGUGUCUUAGUUACUUUUCACUCAUUGCUGAGACAAAAUACCUGAAGCCCAAGGCUGGGAAAGGAAAGGUUUAUUUCUUACAGUUUUUGGAGGUUUCAGUCCAUACUCAGUUGGCUCCAAGACGAGCAGGCAUGGCUGGGCUGCAGUUCAUGGCGGCCGCCAACAGCAAACUCAAACCAGCAAAGAGAAAAACACACCUUCUUCCUGCCAUUACAUCACAUCCUGGCUCCACCCCUAUGUGGGUGGAGCACUGACACCAUCAAUCCAAGCACUAUACAAUGAACCAUCACAAAUGAACAAUGCAAACUCAUGAGGCCUGGGGGACACAAACAUAAACCAUGACAUUUGGUGUCUUAGGCCACUUUGUGCUACUAUAACAGAACAUCACAGACCGGCUGAUGAACAGAGCAGAAAUUCAUCAGCUCAUGAUUCUGGUGGCUACAAAGACCAAGAGACUGACAUAUACAGAGGACCUUCUUGCUAUGCUAGAACAUAGCAGAAGGCAUCAGAUGGAGGAAGGACAAAGGCAGGCUGAGAGGCAGAGGCUAAGGGGAGCCAAGCUUUUAUAAGGCAUUCACUCCUGCCUUGAUGGCACUCAUCCAUUCCCUCCAUCCUCAUGGUAUAAUCAUUUUUCACUGCACGUUGCUUCCUAACUCCGUUGCAUCAGGAGUUGUUCUCAACACAUGGGUUUUGGGGACACAUGCAGCCCAUAGUUGUUGAUAGCUUUGAAGGCUGUGACUGAAGGGGAGGAAGUGGAAACGGCUGAGGAUCAACAGGCCCUGACAAUUAGUGAGGUCAGAACUCUCGGAGGAGGAUGUUGACUAAAGGAGACACUGGAGGGCUCCCCUGGCUGGAGCUCAGGACUAUUUUUAGGUGUUGUUAUGGCCACAGCAGACACAGCUGGGUAAAGCUAGCCUCCCAAGGGGGCUCAGGACUUAGCUGAUUGCAGGAUGAUUGGGACAGAGCAGAACUCACUGAAGUCUUAUCUUCCACUAUGAGAGAUAUCCCAAGGCAAAAUCUAAGAUAUGUAUUAGGAAAACAAAUAUUUGAGCUCAUAUCAAGAUGGAAGAAGUGUAGAAAUAUCUGGUCAAAUGACUAAGAACUCUUGAAUUAUACAAAAAGUCACAUUUUCCUCCAAGAGCUCUGAAGGAAAUCAACAGUAAUAAACAUACAUGUAGCUCCUACUAGGCCUGCUAAAACAUUGAAUGUUGAGGUUUAUUAGCUUCUUAGUUGUCCUAAAAGAUGUCAUGUGGCAUGAUGUGGGGGGGUCCUCAGCUGGGGAAUCCAUGUGAUUCUUUGGGCCAAAACCUGCACCCAUGAAUAUGGAGAAGUCCCCAGAACACUGGUAGGGGACAAAAUUAGAAAAGAUAGAAAGUAUCUUGGCUGACUUGCUGGGUGAUUGCUUGUUCAGUCAUUCAUUCAACGUGCAUUGAGACUUGUUGCAGGGUGUGCCCACUUUCAGCUUUAAGGAUGAUGCCAAGGUGGCUUCAGUGGCACGUGUAUUUACACUCCUGUGGUAAGAGACAUAGAUCUCCCCAGUUCUCAUCAUCCCAACACUUGGUCUUUGUAGACUCUUUGAUGUUUGACUUUUAAAUAAUUUUAUAACAGACAUACCUGUAUGUCUUCAAUUGUACUUGUCAAUUUUCUUAUAGAUGUAUGACCAGAUGUGUAUAAGAUGUCUACACAGCCUGCUCAUUACAGCAAAAAAGCCAGGGAUCACACAAAUGGUGAACACUGUGCAUUAUUCAUGCUGCUGUCUUACACAGCAGAGAAAGUGAAAGGGUUCCUACUACAGGUAACAACAGGGAUGAACAAGCCUGACUAAAAAAAUGCAAAUUCUAGGAGAAUACAAACUGUAACUUUAUAAAGUUCAAAAAUAAGUUGUUUGGGGAGUGGUCAGGGAUAUAGCUCAGUGGCACAGUACCUGCCUGGCAAACAUGAGGUCCUGAGGUCGAUUCCCAGUACCCCCCUAAAAAAGUUGUGUAGGCGUAAGCUGUUUACACCUAAUAUUUAUUUUUCUUGUGGUUAAGAAAUGAGAAAAAGAAAAUUCGUGAUGGAGGUCAUCUCAGGGUGGAUGGGUAGAUAAAGGAACAAGAGUUGAAGUUACCAACCAGGUUCUCAUUCAUGGAUCAGGUAGUCACCAGAGAUUAUUAUAAAAAUAAAUAAAGUCAAGGAGAAAACCAAAGAGUGCUAUUCAUGGGUUACUGCUGAUGCUGUUUCAUGAACCCAGGAGAAAGAAGACUCGAAUUCUGUGUGAAUGCAAAAAGAUGGGAUCAAACUGAUAUUGAGUUUGGAGAGCCAGGCUUGAUGGCCCACAUUUAUUCUGCAGUAGCAAGCAACCCUCUCUUUGGUGAGUCACAGCCUCAGAGUUGUUUUUCCCUAGAUUGUAUGCCAACCGCGCACCCACAGAGGGCCCACAGAAUGCCAACCUCACGGGUGUUGCUGGUUACUGAUCUUCUUGCCAUUCAAUAGAGUCCCAGCCGAUUUUCCUUUAACUUAGUCUAGGCCUGCCUUCAGUGAAUGGAAGGGACUUGAGAAGGUGUAGCUAUGGGGAAUACUAAAUACAGGCCCACAUAAGAUGUUAGGAUUGAAAGUUUAGGUUCAAGUACUACUAGAUACAUCCAGUGUCUCAUGAUGUUUUAUUCAUAGAGAUAAUCAUGCUCUCCUAGGCACUGCAGUUAUAAUUUCCAUAGUCCAUAUGGAAAUACCCAGCUCUGGUUAUACUGAAUAAAGGAUUUUUCAGUGGUAGUUUUCAUCAAAUACUUUUGAAAUGAUGCAUUAUUCUUUAGCACAGUAUCUGGGCAUAGUCAGUGUUGUAGUCAGGGGUUGUGCAGAGAACAAUUAGAAUCAGGACAUGGAGUUUAUAAUAUUAUUUUUAUAAUAGUCACUGGGAGUUAACAUAAGAAAAUGCAGGAAAUCUAUCUGAAACACCAAAAACACAGAAUAUUUAGUCAAGGGCUUGAAUCCCACAGCAAUGUCCCACAUGAGUCCAGAUGAAAACUCAGAGCUCAUGACAGUUCCUCCCAUGAGUCCAGCUGGAGGUCCAGAGCCCACAAGGACUCACACCAGUCUCUUUUAUGGAUCCGUGCUGGGAAGGCCCAAAGGUCAGCAGUGGAGGCCAGAAAGUCCAUGCUAGCAGGGUGAAGGAGCUGUGCUGGUGGGAUGAGGGUUCUACCCUGGAGCCGAGAAGUCACACUCACAACAAAGACCAGGGCUGUCCUGAAAGGCACCACAGCCAUCCUCAGUGCCAUGGGGGCCCCAAGCUCUGACAACGGUAAGCACAGUCAAGUAUACGCCAGCAAGCCAACAUGAGGAGUUCAUCCUGGAGACCAAGCGGCACAUGUCUUCCCCUCCAAAGCCAGGAAGCAAGCCUCAAUGCCAGGACCAGAGCUUCUCCAGGAGAACCAAUGGCUCAAACAGCAACUCAUAGGAGAACCCACAAUGCCUCAAUGCCUCAAUGCAUUAACGCCUUCUUUUUUCUUCUCCACCUCUCUAUUUAUGCUGGCAACUUUCCUCAGGUGGAGCAUCUUCGCUCAGUGCCAUGCUGAUGUAAUCCAGCUGGUGUUAAGUUGACCACCAGUUCUUAAUCCAUACC